AAAAAUACCAAAAGGACUGGCUAAGAAGCCUUCCUUUAAUUAAAAGGUGAAACACCUAUGUUUACAGGUCGUGUGAUCGGUGGAAGACAAUCGUGGUAUCUCAUAACGAAAAAAAACUGAAAACUACUGUCUAAAAAGGGGAAGACAAUCACCAACAACAAGGGUGAGGCCUCGGUCUGUAUUCCUUUAGAUUCGUUGGAAUCGCAUCACAAGAUUGAUCACAGUGCAACUUGACCUUUGGUCUAAGU